UACGGAGGGUGCGAGCGUUGUCCGGAAUCACUGGGCGUAAAGGGCGCGUAGGCGGCCUGAUAAGUAGGGGGUGAAAUCCUGUGGCUUAACCGCAGGGCUGCCUUCUAAACUGUCGGGCUAGAGCACAGUAGAGGCAGGUGGAAUUCCCGGUGUAGCGGUGGAAUGCGUAGAGAUCGGGAAGAACACCAGUGGCGAAGGCGGCUACCUGGACCGGAACUGACGCUGAGGCGCGAAAGCGUGGGUAGCAAACAGG
rnacentral:rRNA from 1 species